CACGUAGGCGGCAACGUAAGUCAGAUGUGAAAGCCCCGGGCUCAACCCGGGAACGGCAUUUGAGACUGCGUCGCUCGAGUCUGAGAGAGGGGGGUGGAAUUCCGGGUGUAGCGGUGAAAUGCGUAGAGAUCCGGAGGAACACCAGUGGCGAAGGCGGCCCCCUGGCUCAAGACUGACGCUGAGGUGCGAAAGCGUGGGUAGCAAACA
rnacentral:rRNA from 1 species